UCUAACUAGACACAAAGUAUUUAUUGUAUCCCGAAAGAACUAAAUCGGAACUAUACACGGAAUUUAUUAACAAUUAUUUCAUUUUACAUAUAUUUUGAAGUAAGUUGAACACUUACCGUCACAACACAUAAACUGGAUCCAGGAGAAAUAAGAAAGGAAAUAUUAAAACAGUCCCGACUUCAAAACUAUUCUGUUAAAAUGCAGAGCGAACGAUUUGUUAAGAUCAAAAGCUUUUGGGAAAAAAAAGCAAGAGGAGAGAAAAACAAUAUAAUUUCAAAAAAUGUACAAAUAGAUACAUGUAAUACUGUCCAUUGCACAAUUCGACCGAAAUGCACACAUUUGAACAGACAGACAGCCGAUGAGACCCUUGAGACAGCUAUAAAUACUAAGUGUCGGAGGAGACAAGAAGAGUCCGUUAAUACUUUUCUAGCUGGUGUAGGCGUUGUCGGAUUUUGCUUUGUUGUGAUCAAGAUGUUAAUGCCACAUGCGGUAAUCAUUGGCUCAUUCAUGUCGUGAACUAAUAACCUAGUUACCAUUCCUAGUAACGUUUAACAAUACAUAACUUAUAAAAAGAUCAGGCUUUUAUUUCGUUUGCCUUAAUCUGAAAAAUUUUGUCGAAGUGAAACAAAGACGAGUCAGGUCGAGCUUUUACAUUUGAUACGGAUACUGCUACAGUACAUGCAUAAGGUUUGAUGUUUACAAUAGAUACGUACGUCAUGGGCAGUCUUUCAGUGAAUUUUCAGAUUUAUCCUCCGCGGUAAAGUCUGUACUGUACGGAAAAUUCGCUUGCAGGCAAUCCAGUAUUGUUCAGUAGCUUUUAGAAAAUUCAGUGUUCCUGAUCUGUAAAGGUACAUUAUUACCUCUGAACAGUCUGCAAAUAGACUGAACAGACUUCAAUUGACUGCAGUACUGAAUUUACCGCAGACCACAAGUCUGAAGAUUGAAAAAUUGUAAAUUACUGUAUAAUGUGUUGUUCAAUCUUUUAAGAGCUAUUUCAGAUUAAAAUGGCCAUUUAUGACCAGCCACAUACUCCGCAAUAAUCGUAUUUAGCAGUUAUAUCAGUCCACACUAAACAUGUAAUAUCGCUGUGUAUCUCAUUCUCAAAAAUUUUGUGAUCGCAAUUUGUUCACAUAAGCUCACAAUGGACCACUCUAUAAAUUGUUAACAUUUUCUUACCAGAUUAUACUAGUAUUCAAAGUGUAAAUACAAGUACUGUUCAUUAAAUUUUAAAUUUUUAGACA